rnacentral:rRNA from 1 species
AGUGAACGCUGGCGGUAGGCCUAACACAUGCAAGUCGAACGGCAGCACAGUAAGAGCUUGCUCUUACGGGUGGCGAGUGGCGGACGGGUGAGGAAUACAUCGGAAUCUACUUUUUCGCGGGGGAUAACGUAGGGAAACUUACGCUAAUACCACAUACGACCUACGGGUGAAAGCAGGGGAUCUUCGGACCUUGCGCGAUUGAAUGAGCCGAUGUCGGAUUAGCUAGUUGGCGGGGUAAAGGCCCACCAAGGCGACGAUCCGUAGCUGGUCUGAGAGGAUGAUCAGCCACACUGGAACUGAGACACGGUCCAGACGCCUACGGGAGGCAGCAGUGGGGAAUAUUGGACAAUGGGCGCAAGCCUGAUCCAGCCAUACCGAGUGGGUGAAGAAGGCCUUCGGGUUGUAAAGCCCUUUUGUUGGGAAAGAAAAGCAGCAGGUUAAUACCACGCUGUUCUGACGGUACCCAAAGAAUAAGCACCGGCUAACUUCGUG